rnacentral:ncRNA from 1 species
UGGUAUUUCAGGCAAAUGGCGUCACAGUAAAGUUUUGCCCUUUUCAAUCUUUUUUAGUGUGGGAAGGAAAAAGAAAGAAAAAAUGGAUUGGAUUGAACCUCGAAGUGAUGAAAAAAAUGGGCAAACCCCAUUUUUAAAACAGAAUUAAUAUAAAGUGGUGCCCUAGCUAAAUCAGGCCUCAACCUAAAUCGUGAAAACAUGUUUUUGGGAGAGCAAUAUAGGCGUUUUGCCGCUAGGCAAAGUGGUUGAGUGCGACACCCUAGCUUACGCUCCGACCCGAGUAGAAUGGGACACGUGCAAUCGUGUGUGAAUCACGAAGGACAACUUGCAAGGCUAAAUACUCCCAUGUGAUCGAAAGUGAAUAGUGCUAUGAGAAAAAGGUGGAAAGUACCCCUAGUGGGUGGUGAAAUAGAACGCGAAACCA